rnacentral:rRNA from 1 species
UACAGAGGGUGCGAGCGUUGUCCGGAAUCACUGGGCGUAAAGGGCGCGUAGGCGGUGCCAGCAGUCGGUGGUGAAAGUCCGGGGCUCAACCUCGGAUCGGCCGUGGCGACUCGUGGGCUGGAGCACUGUAGAGGCGGGUGGAAUUCCGGGUGUAGCGGUGGAAUGCGUAGAGAUCCGGAAGAACACCAGUGGCGAAGGCGGCCCGCUGGGCAGUGGCUGACGCUGGAGGCGCGACAGCGUGGGGAGCGAACAGG